rnacentral:lncRNA from 1 species
AUUUUCUUUUAGAGAAGCAACUCCUAAUUGAAAGGCUACUAGCAAAUGAAAACGAAGAAAUGUACUGUUUUUGAUCAGGUGGUGUUUGGUGGAUGCAUGGGUACACUGCAUCUUACAGAAGAUGUGAAAGGGUGACACAUUUGAAGUGGGGACCAUUUGGAAUUUUGGCUGUCAUGCUGUUUAGGGCACUCUUCAUGAAGCGGCAUCAUUCAUCUGGGGUAAUAACUGAGGUUUCUUGCCUCACACCAAGAAAAUCAAAGAUGUGGACCCACAAGGAGUGACGUUAAGAGUGGAGAUUUAAUAGGUGAGAAAAAGAGAAAAGCUCUCUCUCCUGCAGAGAGAGAGAGAGGCUCCCAAGUGGGUCUUCUGGUUCCCUGGUGAAAUACAUGGGGUUUUAUAGACAAGCUUGAGGAGGUGGUGUCUGAUUAACAUAGGGCCCAAAAGAUUGGUUGGACCCAAUAUGUCAUUUACAUAAUGCAAGAAGAAGCUGGUCACCCC